rnacentral:rRNA from 1 species
UACGAACUGUGCGAACGUUAUUCGGGAUCACUGGGCUUACAGGGUGCGUAGGCGGCUUGUUAAGUAGGGUGUGAAAGCCCCCGGCUCAACCGGGGAAUGGCGCCCUAAACUGGCGAGCUAGAGUGAGAUAGGGGUGUGUGGAACUUCCGGUGGAGCGGUGAAAUGUGUUGAUAUCGGAAGGAACGCCGGUGGCGAAAGCGACACACUGGAUCUUGUCUGACGCUGAGGCACGAAAGCCAGGGGAGCGAACGGG